UACAGAGGGUGCGAGCGUUGUUCGGAAUUACUGGGCGUAAAGCGCGCGCAGGCGGCUUCCUAAGUCUCGCGGUCAAAUGCCGGGGCUCAACCCCGAGCGUGCCAGGGAUACUGGGAGGCUGGAGACAGGUAGAGGCAAGCGGAAUUCCGGGUGUAGCGGUGGAAUGCGUAGAGAUCCGGAAGAACACCGGAGGCGAAGGCGGCUUGCUGGACCUGGUCUGACGCUGAGGCGCGAAAGCGUGGGGAGCGAACAGG
rnacentral:rRNA from 1 species